UACGGAGGGUGCAAGCGUUAUCCGGAUUUACUGGGUUUAAAGGGUGCGUAGGCGGCUUGAUAAGUCAGUGGUGAAAGCCCAGAGCUCAACUCUGGAAUUGCCUUUGAUACUGUCAGGCUUGAGUAUGGUUGAAGUAGGCGGAAUGUAGCAUGUAGCGGUGAAAUGCUUAGAUAUGCUACAGAACACCGAUUGCGAAGGCAGCUUGCUAAGCCAUUACUGACGCUGAGUCGCGAAAGCGUGGGGAGCGAACAGG
rnacentral:rRNA from 1 species